ACAGCAAAUCUCUUCAAAUCUCUGUGCUGUUUUUGUAUCACUUUUUAUUAAAUACUUUUUGAAGGAUAUUGAAAAAUAUGAGAAAUGUCCCAAUGAUUUCAUUGUCAUGGAACAUAAAUGUUUCAGUAACAAGGAUGCCACAAUGGAAAGAAAUAAACGGCGCAGAACUUUGCACACAUUGUUUACUCUGCAUUGAUCUAAGUUUAUCAACACAAAGGAAUAUUUUAUUGUAUAUUUAUACAAUGUUUUUAAGGUGAUGCAAUAAUCUGUGGUUGCAAAUUAACCAAGGCUGCACAGAUAGACGCAACAGAAUAAAUAUAUGGUUUCAUUGUUAAUGGGAUUACACCUUGUAAUAUACUAAAUGACUUCAGUCGUUGAAUAAUACUUUCAAUGUGAA